GUUCAUUGUCACCGUCAACUGUGGAGGCCCUCGUUUGCACACAGAAUUGGUUGAGUGAUACGCCCAUUGGACUAGAUACCAUUGGCUUUGAUGCUGAUAGUUAUAAGCUUGAAUCAGAUAUAAUUGUGAAUCCUAGCAUACUUGCCGAUGACUGAUACUUGGAGUGUGGCUAAGUUGAUAAACUCGCGAUUAAAAAAUAUUGGUAUCACCAACGAGUCAACGACAAACCACGAUAUAUUGAAAGAUGUUUUGGAGCAC